CAGUAGCCGCGGUAAUACAGAGGGUGCGAGCGUUAAUCGGAUUUACUGGGCGUAAAGCGUGCGUAGGCGGCUUUUUAAGUCGGAUGUGAAAUCCCUGAGCUUAACUUAGGAAUUGCAUUCGAUACUGGGAAGCUAGAGUAUGGGAGAGGAUGGUAGAAUUCCAGGUGUAGCGGUGAAAUGCGUAGAGAUCUGGAGGAAUACCGAUGGCGAAGGCAGCCAUCUGGCCUAAUACUGACGCUGAGGUAAGAAAGCAUGGGGAGCAAACAGGAUUAGAUACCCCCGUAGUCCCUGUCUCUUAUAC
rnacentral:rRNA from 1 species